GGGAAAAGGAUUGUUCCAUGGAAGACAAUGAUGACUGUGAGAUGGGAGACACAGAUGGAAAAGGCUUUUCAUCUUCCCUCUGCAGAGCACUUCCUUAGGAUGAUGAUGAGAAUAAAAAGUAGGAAGUGAAGAUGAUCAUGAUGGCGAUGAUUUCAUUGAAAGAGGCCACAAUUGCAUCCUGAAACUACUGUCACAAAACCUAUCUUCCUGAAGGAGAGAGUCUCAUGACAGAAAAACUAAAAAACUAUCUAUAAAGAGUACCAUUGGCAGUGAAGUUUCAUGUCAUCUGGGCCACCCACUCACAGGAGAGCUGCUUUGCUUACCUAUUUGUCUUAGAUUUAAAAACAUGGCAGGUUUUUUUAAAAACUAAUUUAAAAAUAAAUAUUUUAUUGAAUUUGAUUUCAUGGUCAUUAUCCCUAAAUUGAAUAACAUCAAUAUGAAGCUCUGAGUUUUGAUGAAAUGUAUUCAAAACACAUACGAUAGUGCUGUUUUAGUAAAAUAUUGUAUUGGCAAGGUUCAAUGCAAUCAGCAGUAUGUUAAAUUUUCUAAACUUUUUAAUUCCAUCUAUUUUUUGGAAGAUUAAUCCUGAGCUAACUGCUGCCAAUCCUCCUCUAUUUGCUGAGGAAGACCGGCCCUGAACCAACAUCCGUGCCCAUCUUCCUCUACUUUACAUGUGGGACGCCUACCACAGCGUGGCUUGCCAAGUGGUGCCAUGUCCACACCCGGGAUCCGAACUGUCGAACCCAUGGCUGGCAAAGCAGAACGUGGGAACUUAACUGCUGCACCACUGGGCUUGCCCCUAAUUCCAUUGUUUUAAUCAAGGUGCCUCCAAGUGGAAUAACAGAUAUACUUAAUUGUUAUAUGAUAAGAUGUGGAAGGUCUUUUGGUAACCUUUUCAGAAAUUAAGAAAGUGAGUGUUUCUAAUGAUUGCAGAACAAACCACUCCAAAACAUAUUAAUUAAAAUCAACAACUAAAGAUUAUUGUGAGAAAUUGGCACGUAACUUGGAUGGAGUUGAAAGAGUUGAGUGAUAUUCCUAUUUUAGCACAAUCUCUGACAGUUUCUAGUCCCAUUUCCAUUUAAUAUGACCAAGCAGUCUCCGUAUUUUCACCUAUUAAAAAGUGGAAAUAGAAAUGAUGCUGAACCCUCUUGCUUUCUAACAUUGUGAUAUCUUUCCAAGGAUACAUUAAUUAAUUGAAAUAAAUAAUCCAAACAUAUAUUCAUAAUAUUUCUCACACAAAGAAUAUUUCCAGGGCUCAGCCCCAUGGCUGAGUGGUUAAAGUCCUGCGCACUCCACUUCAGCGGCCCAGGUUCACAGCCCAAAUCCUGGGCGCAAAUGUACUCCAGUCCCCAACCACACCGUGGAGGUAACCCACAUACAAAAAAAUAGAGGAAGAUUGGCACAGAUGUUAGCUCAGGCUUAUUCUUCCUCAGCAAAAUAAAAUAUUUCCAAAAAUAUUUUUUCAAUUUUGAUUGAUUAUAUUUUAUCCAAAUUUGCAAUGCAAUUAUAUUUUAAUUAGUGGUAUAAUUAUUAUUGAAUCAUUACAAGGUUAACUUAAUACAGAAAGAAAAACUUUUGAUUUUGCCAAAAGCAUUAUGAAAUAAAAAGUAUGAAUCUGAUUAAUAGCAUUGUAGUGAUCAAUGGGAGGAGUAGGAUUGAAUGUAAAUUCAGGAGAAGGAAAGGCACAAACAUGACUGUUUUGGAUGUCAUUUAUUUAUGUAUUCUAAAUGGAUAUGCAAUGGAAAUUACAGUUUUUGUUAUUUAAGUUUAUGAUGAAAUAUUGUAUAUGUAAAAUUAAAUUCUUCGAAUAUAUACCUUUUCAAAACUAAUUGAGAAGCGUAUGACCAAAAGAUGUGAAGACUACUAAUAUGAGUCAUGUUGUAUAUAGAAGCAACAGAAUCUACUAUAAAGAAUCUGAACUGUCACAACCUGAUAAUGGAAAACAUAUUGUAUGCCAGUGUUUAAUGGAAAGUGUGCUUCUGAUAUGUCUGGAGUCUUGAAUGAUUUCAUGAAUUCUAUCAACAAUUGCUUUUACAAUGUUGGCGAGGUCACUUAAGCAUCAUAGGCCUUGGUUUCUUCAAAGUAAAGGCAAACGGUUUGUGGUAAUUCUAUCAAAAAAUGUGCUCAUCCUUGGUGCAAGCAGGACAGAAGUAAAAUAAACUUCUCUAAAAAAAGGCAUUAACCAUUACGGAUUCAGUUUAAGAUUAAUAUAAAUAAUUUCUUAAUUUCAAAGAAAAUUAGAAAUUGCAUAAUUGCUAAAUGUAUAACAAAGAUAAAUUUGUAAAUAGCUAGAGAAACAGAAGUCAAUAGAAGAGAAAAGCAUUCCCUCAUCAGACAUCCAAUAUCUAAAACACUAUUUUAUUUUUCCAUAUAGAAUGGUUAUUUAAUUGAUUCCUUAUUAUAUAAUGUAUAUGAAUGGAACAUUUCAAUAAUGAACAUAAGGUUAAAAUAACAUGAACAUUCCAAAUAACUUUAUUGAAUCCAUAUAAAAUUGUUCCCCACGUUAGAUUUUCUUCCUUACUAAAAUACCUGGAAAUUUAUUUCUUCCAUUAUAUUGAUGAUUAGUUUGGAAUUUUAUCUAGACAUAUUGAUUAAAGAGAAGGAGAAGGACGUAUAAUUUAUUCAAGCAUAAGUGAGUUAUUAAUGUUAAAGAAAUCUAGAAUUUUUAAUUUACCAGAUCAAAUAGGUCUUAAUAGUAAUGAAUGCCUGCUUUUCAUUUUAUUUUGAAUAAAGUUAUAUAGGUGAUUUGUUUCCAACACUUGAGGUGACUCCAGACACUUUUUUUUUUUAAGAUGGGAGUUCAAUUGAGAAGGAUUCAGAAAUUACCCUCAUGUUCAGGAAAAAGAAUCAAGGAAUUGAUUAUGGUUUUCAUGUGUUUAUAGGCAGAAUGAAAGUAUGAAGUACAGAUUGGGUUGAUACCGUGCUUACUUUUUGCCUAUAAGAUUUCUUGAGAGGCAAUCUAUUAUUUCUAUGCCUCUGGUGGAGUCUAUCACAGCUUAUCAUCCUACCAUACUUGAGCUCCUUUGAAACACAUUCAGAAUAAAGGCCGUGUCUUAUCAACUUUCCAUUCAUGCCAAGUAACC
rnacentral:lncRNA from 1 species